UCCGCCCCUGGAUGCACGAAUYUUUUUACGGCACGCAUGGAAGUGGUUCUGGUCGGCCCGGUCUGACUCAUUAUUUUUUCACGGUUGACCUCGGAUCAGGUAGGGAGUACCCCGCUGAACUUAAGCAUAUCAAUAAGCGGAGGAAAAGAAACCAACAGGGGAUUCCCCUAGUAACGGCGAGUGAAGCGGUAACAGCUCAAAUUUUGAAAUCUGGCCUUGACCGGUCCGAGUUGUAAUUUGUAGAGGAUGUUUUCGGGCAAGGCUCUGGUUUAAAUUUCUUGGAACAGAAUGUCAUAGAGGGUGAGAGUCCCGUCUAGAACCAGGGGCCGCGUCCAUGUGAAACUCCUUCGACGAGUCGAGUUGUUUGGGAAUGCAGCUCAAAAUGGGUGGUAAAUUUCAUCUAAAGCUAAAUAUUGGCCAGAGACCGAUAGCGCACAAGUAGAGUGAUCGAAAGAUGAAAAGUACUUUGAAAAGAGAGUUAAACAGUAUGUGAAAUUGUUGAAAGGGAAGCGCUUGCAACCAGACUUGCGUGUGACGGUUCCCCCGGUCUUCUGACCGGGCUACUCCGUCAUGUCCAGGCCAGCAUCGGUUCGGGUGGCUGGUUAAAGGCCCCGGGAAUGUAUCUACCUCCGGGUCGACUUAUAGCCCGGGGUGUAAUGCGGCCUACCUGGACCGAGGAACGCGCUUUUGCUCGGAUGCUGGCGUAAUGGUUGUAAGCGGCC
rnacentral:rRNA from 1 species